GUAUUCCCAGCACUAUUGCCAGUGCCCUGCUCCCCUAGAAAUUCAGACGCCACAGUAGUUGAAUCAUGUUUAGUGCUUCCUUGUAAUGCUUUUUCCUGCCUCUCUGUUGGUGACUCUCUUAGGUUGUCUGCUGUGUUUACCAUACAACCAAAUCACUAAAGUAUGUAUACUCUGUGUGAGAUGUCAGCAAAGAAAAACUUGCUGGGGACAGAUGGACCACAUUUUGUCAGAACUCUCCACUGUGACCUGACCAUCUUGGGUGGCCCUGCAUGGCUUGGCUCAUGGCUCCACUGAGUAACACAAGCCCCUUUGCUGUGACAAAGCAGUGAUCCAUGAAGGGGAUAUUCCAGGUAUCCUUCUGCAAUUCAUUUUUUAUUCAACAUUGUAUCUUUUAAGACCUAGCCACAUUAACCUAUGUAGAGAAAAUUCUUUUAUUUAUUUAAUUUUUGGAGGGUCUGCUUUGGGUCUUUGUUGCUUUACAUAGGCUUUCUUUAGUUGCAGUGAGCAGGGAAUACUGUUAAUUGAGGUGCAUGGGCUUCUCUUGUUUGGAGCACAGGCUCUAGGCACGGGGGCUUCAGUAAUUGUGGCACACAGCCUCAGUAUUUGCAACACACAGGCUUGGUAGUUGUGGCUCAUGAGCUCUAGAGCACAGGCUCACAUUGUGGUGCACUGGCUUAGUUGCUCCUCAGCAUGUGGGAUCUUCCUGGACCAAGGACUGAAUCUGUCUCCUGCAUUGGCAGGCAGAUUCUCAUCCACUGCACCACCAAGGAAG
ensembl:lncRNA